rnacentral:lncRNA from 1 species
GUUGGGGUGACCUGUGAACAUCCUGUCACAGGCACCCGUGACGCAGAGGUGGUGGUGGUCUUCCACGAGGAGACGCUGGUGACAUUCUCGAAGCUGUCAGAUGAGCUUGUGCAGGAGCAUGUGGAGGGCGGGGAGCCCUGGGACAAGGCGGGGGGCUACGGGCUGCAGGCGCGGGGCGGAGCGAUAAUGGCAGAGGCCGUGCGGGGUGACCCCCUCAAUGCAGCGGGGCUCCCUCUCAACCGGCUCUGCCGCGAGCUGGGGCGCCGGCUGCUGCCUUCGGGACCAGGACAGGAAGUGGAGUCGCAGACAUGAAGUUAUGUCAUCACAGCCGAAGUGACAGGAAGUAAUGUUACAAACAGGACCCCUGUGUGACCGCCCCCCCCCCCAACCGCCACCCGGGUCAUGGUGUAAUAAAGGUCGAUAAGGUGGACAGAGUUUC